rnacentral:rRNA from 15 species
CAAUCCGUCAGAGCAUCCUUUGUGGUGUGAUGGCGUGCCUUUUGAAGAAUGAGCCUGCGAGUUAGUGCUCAGUGGCAAGGUUAACCCGUGUGGGGAAGCCGUAGCGAAAGCGAGUCCGAAUAGGGCGGUUGAGUAGCACGAUCAAGACCCGAAGCGGAGUGAUCUAUCCAUGGGCAGGUUGAAGCGCGGGUAAGACCGCGUGGAGGACCGAACCCACUUAGGUUGAAAACUGAGGGGAUGACCUGUGGAUAGGGGUGAAAGGCCAAUCAAACUCCGUGAUAGCUGGUUCUCCCCGAAAUGCAUUUAGGUGCAGCGUUGCGUGUUUCUUGCCGGAGGUAGAGCACUGGAUAGCCGAUGGGCCCUACAAGGUUACUGACGUUAACCAAACUCCGAAUGCCGGUAAGUGAGAGCGCAGCAGUGAGACUGCGGGGGAUAAGCUCCGUAGUCGAGAGGGAAACAGCCCAGACCAUCAGCUAAGGCCCCUAAGCGGUGACUAAGUGGAAAAGGAUGUGGAGUCGCAUUGACAACCAGGAGGUUGGCUUGGAAGCAGCCACCCUUGAAAGAGUGCGUAAUAGCUCACUGGUCAAGUGAUUCCGCGCCGACAAUGUAGCGGGGCUCAAGUCAUCCGCCGAAGCUAUGGCAUUCACACGUACAGCUAAGCCUUUGUGGUUCAGGUGUGUGGAUGGGUAGGGGAGCGUCGUGUGGGCAGUGAAGCAGCAGAGUGAUCUAGCUGUGGAGCCCACACGAGUGAGAAUGCAGGCAUGAGUAGCGAAUGACGGGUGAGAAACCCGUCCGCCGAAUAACCAAGGGUUCCAGGGUCAAGUUAAUCUGCCCUGGGUAAGUCGGGACCUAAGGCGAGGCCGACAGGCGUAGUCGAUGGACAACGGGUUGAUAUUCCCGUACCGGCAAAGUAGCG